rnacentral:rRNA from 1 species
UACAUAGACCUCAAGCGUUAUCCGGAUUUACUGGGCGUAAAGCGUGCGUAGGCGUUUCGUUAAGUCUCUCGUGAAAGCCCUCGGCUCAACUGAGGAAUUGUUAGAGAUACUGGCGGAAUAGAGUAUGGCAGAGGCAGACGGAAUUCUUGGUGUAGCGGUAAAAUGCGUUGAUAUCAAGAAGAACACCAGUGGCGAAGGCGGUCUGCUGGGCCAGUACUGACGCUGAGGUACGAAAGCGUGGGUAGCGAACGGG